ensembl:snRNA U2 U2 spliceosomal RNA
AUUGCUUCUCGGCCUUUUGGCUAAGAUCAAGUGUAGUAUCUGUUCUUAUCAGUUUAAUAUCUGAUACGUCCUCUAUAUGAGGACUACAUAUUAAAUUAAAGACAGAAGAGGGGCUUACUCCGUCCGCUCCUUGCAUCGACUUGGUAUUGCAGUACCUCCGGGAACAUUAUGGGCUAG